UCACUUCUGGAUGGACCUGCGGUGCAUUAGCUUGUUGGUGGGGUAACGGCCUACCAAGGCGAUGAUGCAUAGCCGAGUUGAGAGACUGAUCGGCCACAAUGGGACUGAGACACGGCCCAUACUCCUACGGGAGGCAGCAGUAGGGAAUCUUCCACAAUGGGCGCAAGCCUGAUGGAGCAACACCGCGUGAGUGAAGAAGGGUUUCGGCUCGUAAAGCUCUGUUGUUAAAGAAGAACACGUAUGAGAGUAACUGUUCAUACGUUGACGGUAUUUAACCAGAAAGUCACGGCUAACUACGUGCCAGCAGCCGCGGUAAUACGUAGGUGGCAAGCGUUAUCCGGAUUUAUUGGGCGUAAAGAGAGUGCAGGCGGUUUUCUAAGUCUGAUGUGAAAGCCUUCGGCUUAACCGGAGAAGUGCAUCGGAAACUGGAUAACUUGAGUGCAGAAGAGGGUAGUGGAACUCCAUGUGUAGCGGUGGAAUGCGUAGAUAUAUGGAAGAACACCAGUGGCGAAGGCGGCUACCUGGUCUGCAACUGACGCUGAGACUCGAAAGCAUGGGUAGCGAACAGGAUUAGAUACCCUGGUAGUCCAUGCCGUAAACGAUGAGUGCUAGGUGUUGGAGGGUUUCCGCCCUUCAG
rnacentral:rRNA from 1 species